AUUGAACGCUGGCGGCAUGCCUUACACAUGCAAGUCGAACGGUAACAGGUCUUCGGAUGCUGACGAGUGGCGAACGGGUGAGUAAUACAUCGGAACGUGCCCGAUCGUGGGGGAUAACGGAGCGAAAGCUUUGCUAAUACCGCAUACGAUCUACGGAUGAAAGCGGGGGAUCGCAAGACCUCGCGCGGACGGAGCGGCCGAUGGCAGAUUAGGUAGUUGGUGGGAUAAAAGCCUACCAAGCCGACGAGCUGUAGCUGGUCUGAGAGGACGACCAGCCACACUGGGACUGAGACACGGCCCAGACUCCUACGGGAGGCAGCAGUGGGGAAUUUUGGACAAUGGGCGCAAGCCUGAUCCAGCCAUGCCGCGUGCAGGAUGAAGGCCUUCGGGUUGUAAACUGCUUUUGUACGGAACGAAAAAGUUCUCUCUAAUACAGGGGGCGAAUGACGGUACCGUAAGAAUAAGCACCGGCUAACUACGUGCCAGCCGCCGCAGUAACAC
rnacentral:rRNA from 1 species